AAAUUGAAGAGUUUGAUCAUGGCUCAGAUUGAACGCUGGCGGCAGGCCUAACACAUGCAAGUCGAACGGUAACAGGAAGCAGCUUGCUGUUUCGCUGACGAGUGGCGGACGGGUGAGUAAUGUCUGGGAAACUGCCUGAUGGAGGGGGAUAACUACUGGAAACGGUGGCUAAUACCGCAUAACGUCGCAAGACCAAAGAGGGGGACCUUCGGGCCUCUUGCCAUCAGAUGUGCCCAGAUGGGAUUAGCUGGUUGGUGAGGUAACGGCUCACCAAGGCGACGAUCCCUAGCUGGUCUGAGAGGAUGACCAGCCACACUGGAACUGAGACACGGUCCAGACUCCUACGGGAGGCAGCAGUGGGGAAUAUUGCACAAUGGGCGCAAGCCUGAUGCAGCCAUGCCGCGUGUAUGAAGAAGGCCUUCGGGUUGUAAAGUACUUUCAGCGGGGAGGAAGGUGUUGUGGUUAAUAACCGCAGCAAUUGACGUUACCCGCAGAAGAAGCACCGGCUAACUCCGUGCCAGCAGCCGCGGUAAUACGGAGGGUGCAAGCGUUAAUCGGAAUUACUGGGCGUAAAGCGCACGCAGGCGGUCUGUCAAGUCGGAUGUGAAAUCCCCGGGCUCAACCUGGGAACUGCAUUCGAAACUGGCAGGCUUGAGUCUUGUAGAGGGGGGUAGAAUUCCAGGUGUAGCGGUGAAAUGCGUAGAGAUCUGGAGGAAUACCGGUGGCGAAGGCGGCCCCCUGGACAAAGACUGACGCUCAGGUGCGAAAGCGUGGGGAGCAAACAGGAUUAGAUACCCUGGUAGUCCACGCCGUAAACGAUGUCUACUUGGAGGUUGUGCCCUUGAGGCGUGGCUUCCGGAGCUAACGCGUUAAGUAGACCGCCUGGGGAGUACGGCCGCAAGGUUAAAACUCAAAUGAAUUGACGGGGGCCCGCACAAGCGGUGGAGCAUGUGGUUUAAUUCGAUGCAACGCGAAGAACCUUACCUGGUCUUGACAUCCACAGAAGAAUCCAGAGAUGGAUUUGUGCCUUCGGGAACUGUGAGACAGGUGCUGCAUGGCUGUCGUCAGCUCGUGUUGUGAAAUGUUGGGUUAAGUCCCGCAACGAGCGCAACCCUUAUCCUUUGUUGCCAGCGGUUAGGCCGGGAACUCAAAGGAGACUGCCAGUGAUAAACUGGAGGAAGGUGGGGAUGACGUCAAGUCAUCAUGGCCCUUACGACCAGGGCUACACACGUGCUACAAUGGCGCAUACAAAGAGAAGCGACCUCGCGAGAGCAAGCGGACCUCAUAAAGUGCGUCGUAGUCCGGAUUGGAGUCUGCAACUCGACUCCAUGAAGUCGGAAUCGCUAGUAAUCGUGGAUCAGAAUGCCACGGUGAAUACGUUCCCGGGCCUUGUACACACCGCCCGUCACACCAUGGGAGUGGGUUGCAAAAGAAGUAGGUAGCUUAACCUUCGGGAGGGCGCUUACCACUUUGUGAUUCAUGACUGGGGUGAAGUCGUAACAAGGUAACCGUAGGGGAACCUGCGGUUGGAUCACCUCCUUACCUUAAAGAA
rnacentral:rRNA from 1 species